rnacentral:rRNA from 1 species
UACGAAGGGUGCAAACGUUGCUCGGAAUUAUUGGGCGUAAAGCGCACGUAGGCGGCUUUGUAAGUCGGAUGUGAAAUCCCCAGGCUUAACCUGGGAACUGCAUCCGAUACUGGAUGGCUUGAAUCCGGGAGAGGGAUGCGGAAUUCCAGGUGUAGCGGUGAAAUGCGUAGAUAUCUGGAGGAACACCUGUGGCGAAAGCGGCUCACUGGACCACAACUGACGCUGAUGCACGAAAGCUAGGGGAGCAAACAGG